rnacentral:rRNA from 1 species
UUGAAAAGAACUUUGAAGAGAGAGUUCAAGAGUACGUGAAACCGUUCAGGGGUAAACCUAAGAAACCCAAAAGAUCGAACGGGGAGAUUCAUCGUCAGCGACGCUGGCUUCGCGUCGGUGGGCGAUGUCCCGCGGGGCCUCGCGGCUCGCGCGCGGGCACGCUGCCGUGCGUCGAUGUCCGGCGUUCGUCGUCGUGCACUUCUCCCCUAGUAGAACGUCGCGACCCGCUGGGUGUCGGUCUACGGCCCGGGUGCGGUGACUGACGCGUCGCCGGUAAAACGGCACGCGUCAAACCCCCGAUCGCCCGGCCGGCUGCCCGGCGGUACACGCAAGGUAUCAGGCCGCACCAACGAAGUGCGUCGAGGCCGUCGCAAGCGCGCGCCACGGUACCCGGAGGUAAACGGACCUAGCGCCGUCACCGGUCCUGGCCCGCUGUUGGUCGUACGGUUAACCUUCGACAGGCCUGCGAACGUCCCGCGGCGACCCUCGCGGGUAGUCGCGGUGACCGAUACCGGUCGGCGACGCUACUGCUUUGGGUACUCUUAGGACCCGUCUUGAAACACGGACCAAGGAGUCUAACAUGUACGCGAGUCAUUGGGACUAGCGAUACCUAAAGGCGCAAUGAAAGUGAAGGUCGGCCCUGGUUGUCGACCGAGGGAGGAUGGGCCGCGCGACGAUGCGGCUCCGCACUCCCGGGGCGUCUCGUUCUCAUCGCGAGAAGAGGCGCACCCAGAGCGUACACGUUGGGACCCGAAAGAUGGUGAACUAUGCCUGGUCAGGACGAAGUCAGGGGAAACCCUGAUGGAGGUCCGUAGCGAUUCUGACGUGCAAAUCGAUCGUCGGAACUGGGUAUAGGGGCGAAAGACUAAUCGAACCAUCUAGUAGCUGGUUCCCUCCGAAGUUUCCCUCAGGAUAGCUGGCACUCGGCCGUUCCGCCUGGAACGCGCGCGAGUCUCAUCUGGUAAAGCGAAUGAUUAGAGGCCUUGGGGCCGAAACGACCUCAACCUAUUCUCAAACUUUAAAUGGGUGAGAUCUCUGGCUUUCUUGAACUAUGAAGCCACGAGCAUCUCGGAUCAGAGUGCCAAGUGGGCCAUUUUUGGUAAGCAGAACUGGCGCUGUGGGAUGAACCAAACGCAGAGUUAAGGCGCCCAACUCGACGCUCAUGGGACACCAUGAAAGGCGUUGGUUGCUUAAGACAGCAGGACGGUGGCCAUGGAAGUCGGAAUCCGCUAAGGAGUGUGUAACAACUCACCUGCCGAAGCAACUAGCCCUGAAAAUGGAUGGCGCUGAAGCGUCGAGCCUAUACUCUGCCGUCAGCGGCAAGUGGGGCGGCCGUGGGCGCGCGUUCAACGCGCGCGCCUACGCGCCGCCACGAAGCCCUGACGAGUAGGAGGGUCGCGGCGGUGUGCGCAGAAGGGUCU